rnacentral:rRNA from 1 species
UGAGCAAUCUGCCCUUCACAUCGGAAUAACCAUUGGAAACGAUGGCUAAUACCGAAUAUGACUUCGGAUCGCAUGAUCUGAAGUGGAAAGCUCGGCGGUGAAGGAUGAGCUCGCGGCCUAUCAGCUUGUUGGUGUGGGUAAUGGCCCACAAGGCGACGACGGGUAGCCGGCCUGAGAGGGUGACCGGCCACACGUGGGACUGAGACACGGCCCAGAUCCGUACGGG